ACUAUUAUUGUAGAUAGUAGGUUGGUGUGAUCUUUUAUAUCCUUCAAGUAAAUAUUCUACUUCAAGAAAGAGAAAAAGAAAACCUACACAUCCACAGAUUCGGCGACGAAAGUUGCUACCUUGUUGAUGAGAAUUGGAGAAUGCACUUCAGCGAGCUUUAGAGUGGAGAGACAUAAUACUAGCGGAGAGGACUAGAGGAGAGGGAUGGUGAACACCUAAUGGGGUCAACAUUUUCUAUUUUUGGUGAGAAAUCUGUUCGUAGUUGAGCAUUCAGGCGGCCGACGUUUUCUUUCCGGUCCAAAUCACGGCUGUUGGUUCAAAACAUCAACCAAUGAAAACAUGUUUGAAGCAUAUCACACAUUUCAUUGGAUUAAUGAAUCAAAUCACCCAUUUCAUUAUUGGAUCCUACAAAAUUAUAUUUAGAAGGAAAAUUAGUCAUACUCAGUUAGGAAGCCAUAUGCUAUUAAUACAUAUACAACAAAACAAAAAGACUAGAGAUGUAGAGCAAGACCGCAAGCAAACAUUUGAGCCCGACAUUUCAUCGAACAUGUAGUGUGCAUGUAAAUUAGAGAUAACUGAUUAGUACAAUAACAUCAAAUCUAACCCUUAAUCAAUUCAAAGACUUUUUUUACUAUAAAAAUCGAUCAUCAAGUUGGUUUUAAAGAGUUGAGUUUGUUGAUUUUGGUUGGAUUCACUAUUUGGUUGUGAUAUUGACGAACUCAAGAAGACUAAUUUCUGAUAACAAUUGGUAUACAAACUACAAACAAAAUGGGUUCUUCCAGAAGCUAAACCACAAGAUUUGGGUUUUCUAGUUUGAUUAAAACAAGCAAAAGCUCUUACUAGUUGAAGAAUUCAAAAGGGGGGAAACGAUUGAGAGCUUGAGCAUCUAUUUUCUUGGCCAGUGAAUGUCUGGCUCAUACAAGAUCUUUCAGGUCAAAAAGGAAAGAACCAAUCAGGUGCUACUCUUCUCCUCUCUCUCCUCUCGUUACGCAUGUAGCGACUUCAAGCUGGCGAGCCCCCUAGCGAGAGCUAGGGGCGGUGUUCCUUUUCCUAGCGAGCUCUUAGCGAGAGUGCUUAGCAUCUCCACUCCCAUCAGCCUAACAUUCAACACAUAUGUAGGAUAAGUUUGACAUGUUGGAAUGGUGUGGUUAUUAUGAUUCAAUAUUUUAUGUC